GCCUGUAAAGGUCUUUGUAAGUAAAUCUUUUAUCUUGAUCUCAUCUGAUCUUGGAGGCGAGGCAGAGUUAAGCCUGGUUAGUACUUGGAUGGGAGACCACCUGGGAAUAUCAGGUGCUACAGGCU
rfam:Papio anubis isolate 1X1155 chromosome 1, whole genome shotgun sequence.